UGUAUCUGAAGCCUGACGAGGAUGAGAACCUCCGGGGGCAAGAGGUUCGACUCGAGCGAAGCGAGAGAACGUUGCGCCAGCAACGGCCCGCAGGGCGAGCCACGCAGUGGCGAGUCAUCCUCUAUCACCGACCA
rnacentral:sRNA from 4 species